rnacentral:lncRNA from 1 species
AGAAACCAAUAGAGAAAAUUAAUUUGCUAGAUUUGAAAAGCAGAACCCGGUAUUUAGUGUUUGGUGAAUUGAUAGCAUCAUCACAAACACCAUACAGAUAGAGGCUUUUUGUCUAAUUAGUUAAUUAACAACAUAAAUGAACAUAUCUACUAGGUGAAGUAUGUGUCCAUCACCCCUCUAUCUAAUACUCAUCGUAAGCACCAAAAUAAAUUAUCUUAGUUUUAUACAGAAAUCCCAACUGAUGAAGCUAGCAUAACUUCCAAAAGUCGUUCUUGACAGGAGUCCCGUACUACUAACCUGAAAAAAGAAAAUGUAAAAAAGAUUACUAAAAUUCAGAAACAAACAAUUAACCAAAAGAGAAGUUUUCUCCAACGAGAUAUUUUUUCUAAUUACCAACAAAGAAUUAAUUAUGUCCUUGUUAAGCCCAACUGGUGAAGCGAGGAUAAAUUCCAAAAGCCAGUCUUGGCAGGAACUCCUAAACCACUAACCUGAAAAAGCAUAUCCAUAUAGAGAUGAGAACCGAAAAACCCUUAGCCAAAAUCAGUAGCAAAAUUGUACAAGUACCUCUUUUCUAACAUAAUAACACAACGAUCACCUUUUGUAAUUGAUAAAUAACACAUGCAAGAUUUCACAUUUGGAAAGGACCAUUGGCUCUAACACAGGUUGAUUUUGUGCAUCUUAGUGUUCCUAUAAUAGAUGAAGAAGGUCAAAUGUUGAUCAAUUUGUUCUAUCGCUACAAAAAGGAAUGUGGUUCUUCUAUGAUACUCAAAAACUCAAGACUUCAGUUGUGCCUAUCCAUAAAUAAUAAGUCGUAGGCCAUAAAUAAAUGGAAUGUAGUGCUUAUCAUGUGAAAUGGCAAGUGGAAGUUAUUUAUAUUGAAAGCCGGGA